rnacentral:rRNA from 1 species
GACAGGGAGACAGGUGGUGCAUGGUUGUCGUCAGCUCGUGUCGUGAGAUGUUGGGUUAAGUCCCGCAACGAGCGCAACCCCUACGUUUAGUUGCUAACGCGUGAAGGCGAGCACUCUAGACGAACUGCCGUUGACAAAACGGAGGAAGGUGGGAUGACGUCAAAUCAUCAUGCCCCUUAUGUUCUGGGCUACAUACGUGCUACAAUGGCCGGUACAGACGGACGCAAAGCCGCGAGGUGGAGCAAAUCCUAAAAAGCCGGUCUCAGUUCGGAUUGCAGGCUGCAAUUCGCCUGCAUGAAGUCGGAAUCGCUAGUAAUCGCAGGUCAGCAUACUGCGGUGAAUACGUUCCCGGGCCUU